rnacentral:rRNA from 1 species
AGUGAACGCUGGCGGUAGGCCUAACACAUGCAAGUCGAGCGGCAGCACAGUAAGAGCUUGCUCUUACGGGUGGCGAGUGGCGGACGGGUGAGGAAUACAUCGGAAUCUACUUUUUCGUGGGGGAUAACGUAGGGAAACUUAUGCUAAUACCGCAUACGACCUACGGGUGAAAGCAGGGGAUCUUCGGACCUUGCGCGAUUGAAUGAGCCGAUGUCGGAUUAGCUAGUUGGCGGGGUAAAGGCCCACCAAGGCGACGAUCCGUAGCUGGUCUGAGAGGAUGAUCAGCCACACUGGAACUGAGACACGGUCCGGACUCCUACGGGAGGCAGCAGUGGGGAAUAUUGGACAAUGGGCGCAAGCCUGAUCCAGCCAUACCGCGUGGGUGAAGAAGGCCUUCGGGUUGUAAAGCCCUUUUGUUGGGAAAGAAAAGCAGCAGGUUAAUACCCCGCUGUUCUGACGGUACCCAAAGAAUAAGCACCGGCUAACUUCGUG